UGCUUGGUGUGUGUUUUGGUUUGCGUCUGUCUCUGUGUUUCUGCUCUCUCCCUCAUGCUCUGAGGCUGCUGGUGAGCGUGGUCGCCAGUGCUACUGUCUACUCACCUGAGGCGCAUCACGUCAAUCAAGCACACCUGUUCCAAAUCCUGCAAUCUACUCACCUUUAAAAGCCAGACCAACCCUCCAACCCCCGCUGGCUCGUUGUACCACUCAAAUACCAGCCUGGAUCCUGUACUCCGAUCAUUCACCAGCACCACAAGAACCUGAGCAUUGGAGCCCGGACCACAAACCCUCUGACCAACCAGAACAUCAUCCGCCUAGCCUUUGUCUGUUUGCACUGGUCUUGAAUAAAUACUCCUUAACCUGAA